rnacentral:ncRNA from 1 species
GCCGGGGACCACCCGGAGAGGUGGCAGAGUGGUUGAAUGUACCUGACUCGAAAUCAGGCAGGCGUUUAUAGCGCCUCGGGGGUUCGAAUCCCCCCCUCUCCGCCAGAUAAAGAAAAAAGCCGCCCCUAGCUAGCUAGUGCUGGCAGGCUCAUCCACGCAUGGCGUGGAUCUA